CAAGACUGCAAGACCGAGUGACAACAAUAAUUGACUGGAAUGACGAAGUCAAGAGUUUCCACUGGCAAGGGCAGUGACCUCGGAAAAUUUUCUGAUUAGAUAAAAUCCGGUUUUCAAGAAAGAGAAAGAGAAGGGGAAUGUUUGGAAAAUUUUGUAGUUCAUCAUCAAUUUUUAACUUACCGUAUCUAAUGUUCCGUUACUCGCUAGAUGAAUAGGUCUAGUCUACUCGACGGACCUUUACGUGAAGAAAUUUAUUU